CCUACGGGAGGCAGCAGUGAGGAAUAUUGGUCAAUGGACGCAAGUCUGAACCAGCCAUGCCGCGUGCAGGAAGACGGCCCUAUGAGUUGUAAACUGCUUUUGUACGAGGGUAAACGCAGAUACGCGUACCUGUCUGCAAGUACCGUACGAAUAAGGAUCGGCUAACUCCGUGCCAGCAGCCGCGGUAAUACGGAGGAUUCAAGCGUUAUCCGGAUUUAUUGGGUUUAAAGGGUGCGUAGGCGGGCGGAUAAGUUAGAGGUGAAAUCCCGAGGCUCAACUUCGGAAUUGCCUUUGAUACUGUUCGGCUAGAGAAUAGUUGAGGUAGGCGGAAUGUAUGGUGUAGCGGUGAAAUGCUUAGAGAUCAUACAGAACACCGAUUGCGAAGGCAGCUUACCAAGCUACUACUGACGUUGAGGCACGAAAGCGUGGGGAGCAAACAGGAUUUGAUACCCGUGUAGUC
rnacentral:rRNA from 1 species